GAUGAACGCUGGCGGCGUGCCUAAUACAUGCAAGUCGAGCGAACAGAUGAGGAGCUUGCUCCUCUGACGUUAGCGGCGGACGGGUGAGUAACACGUGGAUAACCUACCUAUAAGACUGGGAUAACUUCGGGAAACCGGAGCUAAUACCGGAUAAUAUAUUGAACCGCAUGGUUCAAUAGUGAAAGACGGUUUUGCUGUCACUUAUAGAUGGAUCCGCGCCGCAUUAGCUAGUUGGUAAGGUAACGGCUUACCAAGGCAACGAUGCGUAGCCGACCUGAGAGGGUGAUCGGCCACACUGGAACUGAGACACGGUCCAGACUCCUACGAGAGGCAGCAGUAGGGAAUCUUCCGCAAUGGGCGAAAGCCUGACGGAGCAACGCCGCGUGAGUGAUGAAGGUCUUCGGAUCGUAAAACUCUGUUAUUAGGGAAGAACAAAUGUGUAAGUAACUAUGCACGUCUUGACGGUACCUAAUCAGAAAGCCACGGCUAACUACGUG
rnacentral:rRNA from 1 species